CAAUAGCGUAUAUUAAAGUUGUUGCAGUUAAAAAGCUCGUAGUUGGAUUUGUGGCGUACGGUGUGUUCCGGGCACUUGUUGUCUGAGUAACCUGCUGUUGCCAUCCUUGGGUGGAACCUGUGUGGCAUUAGGUUGUCGUGCAGGUGAUGCCCAUCGUUUACUGUGAAAAAAUUAGAGUGUUCAAAGCAGGCUUAUGCCGUUGAAUAUAUUAGCAUGGAAUAAUGAGAUAGGACUUUUUUGCUAUUUUGUUGGUUUGCGCAAAGAGGUAAUGAUUAAUAGGGACAGUUGGGGGUAUUCGUAUUCCAUUGUCAGAGGUGAAAUUCUUGGAUUUUUGGAAGACGAACUACUGCGAAAGCAUUUACCAAGGAUGUUUUCAUUAA
rnacentral:rRNA from 1 species